rnacentral:rRNA from 1 species
GACGAACGCUGGCGGCGUGCUUAACACAUGCCAGUCGAACGGACAGGCCCCUUUGGGGGUCCUCGAGUGGCGGACGGGGGCGUAACACGUGAGUAACCUGCCCUUGCCUUCGGGAUAACUUCAGGAAACUGGGGCUAAUACCGGAAAGGAAUAAUUGCUGCAUGGGGGGGGUUGGAAAGCUUCAGGGGGUUUGGAUGGGAUCGCGAGAUAUCAGCUUGUUGGUGGGGUAGUGGGUUACCGAGGCGGCGACGGGUAGCCGGCCUGAGUGGGCGACCGGCCACCUUGGGUCUGAGAUGCGGCCCAGGCUCCUACUGUAGGCAGCUGGGGGGAAGAUUGCACGAUGGGCGGCAGCCUGAUGCUGCAGCGCCGCGGGCGGGAUGACGGCCUUCGGGUUGUAAACCGCUUUCAGCAGGGGCGAAGCUUGUGGUGACGGUACCUGCAGAAGAAGCACCGGCUAACUACGUG